UUGAGACACGUAUCUUCACUUUUUAACUCUUUUUUCAACCUCAUAAGAGAAGUGAGAGAAAGGAAGAAAAGGGAGAGACAAGGGCGGUGACCGGAGGGCCACCACCGUCACACCACCACGACGGACACCGUCCGGUGUCUCUGUUUUGUGGGUUUCUUGGAACCUGCCUGAAAGAUUGUACGAUGGGAUGGUUCAUAUCCAGGCUAUUGAACAGAAGACAUGUCUCUUCUUUGCCUGUUUGCCGACGACCAACCACCCACUACCAGAGAACCGCUGCUACUCAACCGUCUGGUUCGUUCACAUUCACUUUCUUCUAUCUGUAUUCAUGUGAGAAAAUCACAAAAUCUGCAAUUUUGGGGUUUCUUGAUCUUGCAAACUAGAAAUUGGGUUUGUUGGGAUUUUCUUUUUUCGUAGGUGAAAUCUUUGGGUUUGUUUUGCAUGGGCACUGAAUUUUCAAUUUGGGGGUAAUUUUUUACCGCAAUUAUUGAAAAUUCUAGGGUUCAUGACACAGAGACUAGAGACUGUUUAGAUAUAAAAUGAAGUUCAGUAAUAUUUUAUAUACUAUACUACUCAAUUAAUAGAGCAAUGGAAAUGAGCAGUGGUUUUGGUCUUGGUUUGUUCCGAUUGAACUAUUUGGGCGGUCAUCUCCCUUGAGACGCCUGUCUUUGGCUUUAAAUCUUACCCUUUUUUUUACGAAGAGAGAAGGGUAGUAACCAGAGGGUCACCACCGGCGGAUUCCGACAGUCUUGGCGGCGACGAGUUUAAACAUAAAAUCUUUGUUGAUGUUUUAGGCGACGGCAACUGGGAUUCUUGCGAGGUCUCGGCCUUUUGCCUACCCAACGAUGAUGGUGGCUUGCUACUUGGUAUGGCAACUCCGGUUGCAACCAUAGCGCCACUGAGCAGGUUAAAGGAUGAUCAUGAUCUUUUCGUAUCUGAGCUGUGAUGAAUUCAUAUAAUGACUGUAAAUCGGAUGUUGAUUUUGCCUUAGCGUGGGCGCGUGAAAGAUAGAAAAUUAAAUGGGCGGUGAUGAUAUAAGAAAAUCCUCUAUUUUCGUUGUUUUGGCGUGGCAAUCCGAUGAUUUGCAGCCACAAUGAGGUAGUAUAUCUGAGCCUUCGAACACACGUCUAAACAAACCAGAUGUGUUCAUAUUGAAAGUUUACUUUUGACGGGUGCCGGUGACUCUCAUCGGUUGAUCUAGAGACAGAAUGGGAGACUUGAGGGUGAUCUUGAACAACCGCAGCCUCAGAGACUUGAAUCGGUGUUCCGGCGAGAGUCCGUACAGGAAAGAGGAGCAGAGAAUAUGAGAGGGAUACGUCGAUUCAAGAUUGAUUUCUUCGAUUUUUAUACUACAGAUUCAAACACAAUGGAGACGAUUAGGAGAGCUUUGCACGCAGUUUCAUUAUACUCUAAUGAUCAGAGAUGUGGGAUACAUUAAGGAAAGGUCUAUUGAGCUUGGUCCGCAAGACUGCACGUCAUCUUUUACUUAAGGUAAUGUUGGAUACCAAAUCAUCAAUAGAUAAUUAGAAAGUUAAUGAUAGCAUUAGGGUCAUAUGGUUAUGGUCCUGAUGAUUCCAGCAAAUUUUUAAAAUUUGACACAAGAGGUAUUGUGUUAAUUCUUCACCAUUAAUAAUAAAAACAAGUUCUUUUAAGGAUUGUCCUUGGUUAUAAAAAAAUCAUUUACACCAGAGGUGUGAGGUGGUCAGGAGACGCCUCAGGGCCUUGAGAUGGCGCUUCAUACACAUUACGUCGAAUUUAGGGCCCGUAGAAGGCUGAUAUGUAAAAACAACCAAACGGGUGAAGAGAUUUUGAAUGGUUACUUGAUAAAAAGGUUGACAUACAUAAGAGAUGAGAGAUGCAACUUUUGGUUGUACAUAGAGCAACGUUUCGCGUACGUGAAGCUCUUGUCUUAUGCCUCGGCUUUCAGGGCCUAAACUCCUCAUAGCGCCUCGCCCUUGCUAAAACCAAGGGAUUGUUCAAUAUUUUCUUUUUGGCAGUUUUUUUCCCUUUUUCUUUCUUAUAUCUUAGUGUUACCAAUAAUUUUGUAGGACAUGAUCGUGGGUACAUCGUGGAACAUAUUCAUGCCAGAGACAGUCGAGUCUCUUUUUUAUCUCUGAUAUUUGACUGAUAAGGCUAUAGGGUAUGGUUAUGUUCCUCAUGACCACCAUUACCCUUUACAUAGGUGUUAAAUCACUAUCCUCUUUAUUUUUUUUAAUUUAUUUUUGUCUUAAAAUUAUCAAAUGGGAGGGUUGCGGUUGUCGUGGUUUAAUGCUGGCGAAUCACCAUGAUUUAAUGAGGGAGUGGUGUAGCGCAUGAAUAAUGGUCCUAUGUGGCAAAUAAUGACCCAACAAUGACCCCCAUACCCCUUAGCCUAAUAUCAAGAAUGAUACAGCUAAAACUUUCUGAAUUGGCAACCGUUUUUCUUUUCAGUAAAAUGUAUAAACAUUAAAAGCCUUAAGCCGAUAGCGUUACUGAUGAUUUGGUUGUCAGGCCUUCAGUUUUACUUUUACCUGUUAUGCGAAAGAUUUGGCAGUAUUUUACUCACUAAUACAGUUAAGUAGUUCAAAAGCACAUAAAUACUAGGAUUUAUUAACAAAACUGUUAGGUAUUACUUGAUUAAUUUAUUACUUCUGUUUAUAAAAGUACCUGUAACUUCUUUAAAUCGCAUUGAUUGGGGCCCGGAAAACUUAACAUAGUUUCCAUAUAUUUGUGUCAUGAUGUUAUUUUGUUUAAUAGUGUAGGAAUUCUGAUUGUGUUAUCGCUGUACUAAUUUGCAUUGAAGUAUUAAGGAAUCGUAUCCGAAGUGACAAGUCCAAUUAAGAUAAUGAUAAUGCAGUCUGAUUGGAAGUCAUGAGGUCCGAUGACCAUGGUAAGGUACGUGAAUAGGAGGGUGUGGUGCAUGGUAUGGGGAGGAGUUGUAGUUCCUUCAGAUCAUUUUCCAUUGCUUAAGAGAGAAUUGAAAGGUGGCUUAAGGAGAGCUUUAGCUUCAGACUAUAUAUACACCUUUUAGGAUGCUAUAUGUAAUAUGCUUAUUCUGGAUUGUGUAAACAGAAGACUUUUUUUUGCUUUAUCUGUUAGUUUUUUUGACAUUCCUGCAUCAAAUUGCAUGUACAAACUUUGGAAGUUGAAUGACAUCUUUAUUAUAAAAGAAGUUCA